rnacentral:rRNA from 1 species
GACGAACGCUGGCGGCGUUCUUAACACAUGCAAGUCGAACGGAAAGGCCCUGCUUUUGUGGUGUGCUCGAGUGGCGAACGGGUGAGUAACACGUGAGUAACCUGCCCUUGACUUUGGGAUAACUUCAGGAAACUGGGGCUAAUACCGGAUAGGAGCUCCUGCUGCAUGGUGGGGGUUGGAAAGUUUCGGCGGUUGGGGAUGGACUCGCGGCUUAUCAGCUUGUUGGUGGGGUAGUGGCUUACCAAGGCUUUGACGGGUAGCCGGCCUGAGAGGGUGACCGGCCACAUUGGGACUGAGAUACGGCCCAGACUCCUACGGGAGGCAGCAGUGGGGAAUAUUGCACAAUGGGCGGAAGCCUGAUGCAGCAACGCCGCGUGCGGGAUGACGGCCUUCGGGUUGUAAACCGCUUUCGCCUGUGACGAAGCGUGAGUGACGGUAAUGGGUAAAGAAGCACCGGCUAACUACGUG